rnacentral:lncRNA from 1 species
ACCCACAAAUAUUUUGAAGAUUUUUUCUGAGAAUAAAAUGCUUAAAGGGGGUCGAUUUGUAAAGCAUAAUAUCACACAUUUACACAUAUAAUCACCAUGGAUCCAAACCUCAACACUUGGUAAAUAAAGACAUCAGUAUUUCCAAUAGGAUUAACUAGUUUAUCCUUAGUUAGGUACUUAUCCAACUUCAAAUGAGUUAAAUAUAUAUUUUUAUCUCUCGUUGCCAAAUCAUGAAAUUUUUCCAUCAAAAAUUUCGGUCAGUAUUGCAUCUGAAAUAUUACUCAAUUCAUGCUCCAUUGCCUUCUCACUUGUUGGGCCAUCGAAGUUGUUAAUAUUUAUCCGCAUGAGUGAUAGAUCCUAGAUUUUACCAGUUUUAGGCCAUGUAUUAUGCUAUGUUUAGAGUCCUUAUUAUCUAUUUCGAGUCUGUUCUACGUCAUUUACAGAUCUAUGUGCGUUUUGGAGAACUUUGGAGGAUAUGGAGUAAAAUUGAGCUUAAAAGGAAGAGACCCCGUAGCUGUGUAGAAAUUGGAGUCGAGACACGUUGUGAGCGUCAAACAACGCCUCUUUGGUGUCGAUCGAGGUUGAUGAAAAAUGGCGAAGCCGACUAAACUUUCAAGAAUCGCAUUUUCCCAUAAAUUUUCUUAUUUGCAAAGAAGCCCCUGAGCAGGUUUAACCUAUUUAUAUCUAUUUUCUAGCCACUGUUUAGGAUACGCUUUAUACUUUGAGAGAGAGAUUUUGGAGAGAAUAUCAGAACUUCUUCAAAGAUUGAUUGAAACCUCUAUAUUUCUUUCCCUCAA